UUUUAUCCAGGCAAUCCUCGCAUGCCAGUGAUCCCAGGCAUGGUGAAAGGGUCCUUCAUGCUGCUUCACUGGUGACUUAUUUGCUCAGGCUGCCACUAACUCUCAUGAAGACCUGAAUGCAGUGUCAGAGAAGGGCUGAUGUGGACUAGCUCACAGCUGCAAGAGCCAAAUGCAAAUAUUCAGACGCUCCUUCCCAGAGGCUGAAGGUAUAUUAUCAGAGCAUUGUAAAAGAAGAGCAUUUCUUUGCUAACUUAUGGAACAACAAUGGGUUUUUUGUUCUUGGCCAGAUUCCCCAAAGAGAAUUGAAUUGCAAGACAUGCAGUGUUUGGUUAGAAUGUUUCUAAGGAAAGGAUAAAACAUGUAUGUAUUUAUUAACCUGGUCCAUUCCAUGGAAUGUCCUAGUGAGCUGUGGGAACUGACACAGUACAUUUUUUCUUACCAGGCCAUCAGAAGUCACAGUGAUGAUUGAGAAGAUAUACCAGACAUUCUGACAUCGUUGUUGCUGAGACUAUCUUCUCCUGUAAAUGGGCAUUUAUGAGCAGAAGGUUCUCAAAAAUGCACCCAUGGUUGCUGGAACUUCUUUGCAGUCGCUCUGAGUGUGGCAUUCAACUCACCUAACAUCUGCUCUGUAAACAGCUGUCCAGCAAGCCUUGUGUUGUCACCUGUAUUCUUUUUCAUAGCAGUGGAGGAAGGAAGAAACCUUAUUGCCCCUAGCUAGCUGCUGUGUUUCUCUGCUAGAGAUUGCCACCCCAUCAGGGGAGCUGGUCAGUGAAACAGAGCUUGGCAUUUCACAUCCUGGUACGUGCACUUCAAUAGCCACCAAUGAAUUAAUGCAGCACAUUGUGGUUUGGACAGUGGGCAUACCUAUUAGCUUCUCUUUCAUGUCCUCUACACUGGAAACAAUCAGCAAAGAAACAAGAUAGUCAGCUGUGCACUGCAACAACACAACACAAAAGAUCAGAGUACCUUUACUUGUGCUAUACAAAGCAUAUGCCUUCACUUGUCUGAACGUCUCUUUUCCAAUGCAUAAAGAAUGGUUAAAAAUAUUUUUCUGGUAAGAAUGACUCUAAUGUGGAAAAAACCUACCAUCUCCCAGUGUCCAUAUAGUUCGUCAGGGUUUUAAAGUACUCAUGAGUGAAAAUAGGGGUAUUGAAGGACAUAUUUCUCGAGUUUCUGAAAAUAACUAAAUAAUGAAUAAUGAAAGUUCACUAUUUUGAAAAUGUCAUUAUUUUGUUCUGAAUCAAUUACAGAUUAGAAAAUAGAUUUUUUUUAUUUUUCUGUUGUUGAAAACAAAUAAAUGAUACCUUUUUCAUGAGUAUUUUGCCCAGUUCUAAUGUUUCAGAAGCAAUGUUGGAUGCUCAAAGCAUUUGUCAUAUAAAAUAACACUGCUUCAACUUUCAAGCCUGCAAUGAUAAUAAUUAAUACUUUCUAUCAGUACUUUAUAUUCAUUGCAAGUACCAGUAACAUUAGUGACAUUGUUAAAAGUUCCUCAUCUGAAUGCUGCUGAGAUAGAUGAAAUGCAUGAUUUUGGAUAAUAAUACAGUAUCAUUUAAACCUGAAUUUACUUGCCACCAUUUUUCCUGGCUUCUACAUUAAAUGGUGCUUUGUAGAGAUUAUUUUGGGACCCAAAAUGUUAACUAUUCAUUGGAAUGCACUGUACAAACUUAGAAACAUGAUGAAUAGUAUUUUAAGCAUAAGCAUUUCAAACAUAUCUGUUCUGUGUUUAAAUGUCAGAACAAAGCAUAUUACAGGAAAAACACCUACAAAUGCAUAAAUGCAAUAAAGCCACAAAAUAUGGGUUAAAAAUUUCCAUAUUUGAUCUGGGUAGCAAAUUAUAGAGAGAGCAAAAACCCCCUACGCAUAACCAUAGCUGCCAAUUCUGGAUCUUUCAAAAAGCAAGGGCAGGAUACCAAGUACAUGAUUCUGCCUUGUGCCAAGCAAGCAUCUAUGAAAAUGUCACCUUUAUGCAAGUGAAACACAAAACGAGUAGAAUUUGCCCUUAAAUGUGAGGGGGAAAGUGUUCUGAAAAUAAACAAAUUGCUUUUUACUGCUAAUUAAAACAUGAAUCAAUAAAUAUUUUCAAAGUUAAAUAAUACUGUUCCUCUCAAGCUGAGCACCAAUCUGCUGGGCUCCAGCCAGGAGAGAAUCUUUUCUAGCAUAGUUACAAACAACUGAUGAGUGGAGCUGAAAACAGAAACAUGAAUACAACUUUCACAGAAAUUCAAACAAAAUUGUACGACUUUUAACAUAUCAUUUGAAGGUUCUUUACUCUUUCCACCUUUUUGUAUAGUGGUCAGCACAUUGCUGGUGAGAUAAUGACCUACAACGUGCAGUCAGAUUAUGGGAAUUAAGAUGUCAGUUUCAAAAUAAACACCAGUUGGUUCAACAAAGCCUGCAGCUAGGAUUAUGUCAGGACUAGGAAGACAUUUAAAACCCGAUUGAAGCAGACUUACUGUUUCUGAACAGAAAACAUGCUGUAGCAUCCUGUUUUACUGUAGACUUAGAAAACCGAUGUUGCUGACUCCCUGAAACUGAUUUCUCAGCUAGGAAGAUGGUCAAGACAAAGUCCUUGCUUUGGAUAUGGAAUCUGGUCAGAUUCUUAUUUCUUGUCCUCUUGCACUUGAUAUCCUUGGUUUUUCCCACAGCAGUUUUUCACAAGUGAGUCUGUGAUCCCAGAAACAGAUCCCCAGUUAAUAUCAUCUACUCUUAUUGCUUUGCAUGUUGAUUAUGGGAUAACACUUCCAGCAGAGAGGUGGAACAGGGACAACGAGGGUCACUCGAAAUAUAGACGUGUAGCUACUAAGAUUUCAGAGUUAACCCACCAUGCUUACUGACUUCUCAGGAGUUAAACUAUGUCAUAUUUGUUAAUUACGUAAGAAUUUAGCUUAAUAUGAGAGUACUGAAAAUUCUAUGAAAAAGUUUGAACCGAGCAUGAUUAGACAGCUACACAACAAGUUUCUUUUUUCUCUCUCUUGCUCUUAUUCUGAGAAUAACAAACAAAUUAAAAUCCUCCAACCCUCCUAUCCCCAACUAAAUUUUUAAAAGAAUGAAAAAGGUGUCUAUACCUGAAUUGGGGGAAGUUUUAAGGAACACUACAUACCAGUCAUACACCAUUAAAAAAAAAAAAGUAGUUUAUGUUAUCCUUUAAACAGCACUGCAGUAUUAAGAAGGCAAAUAUUUUUUAUUAAUAUUUUCUUUUUAUUCUGGGAUACAUUUGCUAAAGUCCUAAUCAAAUAAAUGUGUAUCACCUGUGAAACAGUGAUGUACUACUCCUAGAAGCUGACAGUUGCCAUAGAUGUUGUAGCCAAAACCCUGAGUAGGCAGUUUCAAUUUAAGUGCAGAUUCCUUGAGCUGCAGGUCCUGAGUUUUUGUGAUUGGUCUAAAGUAUUAGGUCUUACAGACAUGUACACACUUGACCCCUUUGUGCCUCUAAACUCCAAAAGGUACUAGUAUGCCAGCUAUUCUGGACAAAUUUAUCACAUUAUAUUUUGUGUCCAUUAGAGCUUAGACUAAACAACCUCACGUAGUGGACACAGUACAUUAAAUUUCCAUGAAAAAUAUUCAGCAGAACAGUCUGACUGAAUUAUAGCCCAAACAGUCUUCAGAGUCACUGCUGAUAGUAUUUUAAAUAUCUGAGUUUUAUAACAAGCCUAUUGUUUUAGGACUAUCUACAGUACUUGAAACUUCAGUGAAUCAGUUGGAGAUACUUGUAAGUCUUAUUACCAGGCAUGAAAUGAAGGUUUCAAUCCUAUUCAGUGAUACUGGACAGAUUUCUAGCAAGUACAGGAGAAAGAACACUUUUACUACAGACUGUUCUGGCCAAGGAUUCACCUCUGGCUAUGUCUGAUCUCUGCAUUCAAAAAGAAUGUUCUGGAUUCUUACUCUGCAUCCCAGCCUUCCGCUCAGUCAUUCUGUCUUGGCUGUCUCAGUUUUGCUUGUCUACAGCUCUGCUACUCCUUUGUGGGUAGUGUGGGGGUAUAUAUAUAUGUAUAUUGCAUAUAUAUUUUGAAGCACUUGGAUGGUGGGUUUUACAGCAUUUGGAUGAUGAGUGCUAAAAAAUACUGAGCAGUAUGUGAAGUCAGGUGGUAUGGAAAUAUCAAGAACAGUAAGUGGUAACGAUAGUAGUGUCGGUGGUGGUGGGGUGAUGGCACAGCACAGGCUGAGGGGCCCUGGGCCAACUCAUGAUUCUGAGUGUGUUUCUGGAGGCAGCACAACCCCUGCUUUGGUGUGGUUAUCAGCAUAGGAUAGGGGACAGCCAUACAGGAGCGCUCUGGGAGGCAUAAUGGAUGGGACAGCAUGUGUUCUGCCAAAAUAUUUGAAAGCCUUAUUUAUGACUCCAUUCUGUGGUAAUCUGAAUGUGAUUAAGUAAGGUUGAAAUCCAAAUAAUCUAUUGGUUAGUGAACUAAAAGAUUAUGCUUGCUUUCACAUUGCAGUCAUUUACAUUGUCUUUGUGAGAAAUUGUGGCAGGAUGCAAAAGAGGUUGCAUUAUGCAAGCAAAAAUAAAGAACAGUAGAAUUUAUAGCAAAUAAGUUUGUUAAAUUCUGCAUUAAUGAAAACUUCAAACAGUUGCUGUAGAUGUUGCAUGGCAGUAGGAGUAGGCUGAAGAUGAUAAUUUUAAGAAUACAGAUAUAUUAUUAGAAAGAGCACUGCUCUGCUUACAGCUGCAUCACUUCAAACAUACUUAAUGGUGCACUUUACUAUCUUUUGUGUUUAAGCAUAGGGCAAUGGCAUAUAGGUAAAUGAGUCUAUGUCUCAUUCUCCCUUUUCCUUUGCUGUUAAAUGUGCUACAUGCAUGCAUGGACUGGAACACAAGGCAUUACGUCACUUCCCAGGUUACUUGUUUUCACUCCUUUAAAACAGGGACAAAAUAAGUAAUGUGAUGGAUUACAUGAAAGCUGGAAAAGGAAGACCAGAGUAAUUUUUACACUUUAUAGAAUAUUCACAUGAAACUUUAAACAAGUAAAAUCAAAGAAACACAGGAACUGUGUUCUGAACUCACAGGAAUAUGAUAUAAACAUAUAAAAAAGGAAGAUUCCAAAACAUGUAUUCUACUAUAGUGGGUCCUAUUUGUUCUUCAUACAGAGACAGACAUAUAGAAUAAUAGCCUUGAGGUUUUAAAAAGAGGUUAUAAAAAGAAAAUAAAACUGUUGUAAUGCUAAAACUGUAAUAGUUUCAGCACUCUUACUUUGGCCCCUUUAUGCAUGUAUCAUGAUUAUGCUUCUUUGCUUGAGCCUCUCUAUUUUUGUACACCCUCUGCCUCUUUUGAUGAAUGAUUAUUUAUUCAGUAUUUGACUAGUUAUUCAAAGGGUGAUCUCCUUUUUUUCACCACAAAUUUCUCCUGUAUUUUGAUACACUUACUGCAGCAUCUGAAUGCUAUUAAAAAGUUAAUUAAUUUAUCUCCACAAAGUUCUGUGAAGAUAGAUGGUGUUAUUAUCCCUGCUCUGUAAGUGACAACCUGGGUAUAAAGCAAUUAUUGGUUUCACUGAAAAAGAUAUGGCUACUCUGGAGGAAAAUGGAUAGGAUCAUCUGGUGAAUGGCUGCAUCACUAUGCAUUUAUAUCAAACUAUUAAUUGCAACAUUUAGGAAAUAGAAUAUCUUUAGUUGUUUUGAUUCAUUAACUGAGAAAGCAAACAUCUCAUGUCUCAGUUUCUAACUUAAAAAAGAAAAGGACUUCCCUGUCACGAAGAAGACUUCUGAAUCUAUGGAAUUUCUGGUAUCAAACAUCAACACAGUAACUACUCUUUAUGUGAACCAACCCUGGUCCAUGUAUGAAAUGGUUAACAUCAUAACUACUUUUUAACUGCAGUAGAGAGAAGCUCUCAGGACAUCUGUUUUUAACCCUAACUGUAGAACAUAAUGAUCAAUUGACUUUGCCUUUGUCUCAUUCCUUUCUUCCUUCUCACUUUUUCCUGGUCAUGCCCAAUCCAAUUCUCCCUUCAGCCCUGCCUCUGCAAUUACCUGAUAUCAUCAUACGGAUCCUGUUCCCAUCUGUAAAUGUGUUGCUUGAGCUUCUGCUACUUCCUCUGUUUUUGGGCUAUAUUUUUUGCAUAUUUUGAGCAAAUGCUUACAUUGGUCAGGCCAUACCCACCUCUGCCUGCAUUGCCUGCCAACCAAAAGGGAUACGUAGAGAUCUGGAAGGCCAGGUUCUGUUCUCAGGUUGGAGAUGGACUGCCCAGAGAGGAGAACUCUGAUUACAUGUGAACUCAGAUUUUUUUCCCAGUCAGUGAAGCAGCGUGAGUUUUAAACAAAUUUCAAUAUGUACUUUAAAUGUACAUGAGGUGCUAUGUACUAGAGCAUCUGAACAAAUGAACUACAGUGAUUCAGUAAUUUUUUAACAUGAACCAAAUUCUGUGAGGGUGUGUUUGGCUUGUGGUGGUUAUUUUCCAUCUACUUACUUUAGAAACAGCAGCUCUGUUUUACUUCUUUUUUUUUUUUUUUUUUAAAUAUAUAUGCAGAUGCAUAUAUGCACACACAAAUAAUUUAAUAUAAUUAGCUUUAAGCAAAAUACUGAAAUGUCAAAUUUCAGAUAGAAGUCUGGGUAGGGUUCAGGUAAGUUUGCUAAAUUUUGGCUAAGCUACAACAUGCUGAAAAAAUAGUUCUUUUAAUGGAAAAGAAUUGAACAACUUUAUUUCUGGGAGUAGUACCUGGGACAAUGACUCAUACAAUUUAAGCCACUGCAUGGAAACUCCAGGAGUAAAAUUCUCUGGGAGUUCCCAGUCCUCUUUUUUUGUAUGCUUGAAUAGCCCUUCUCCUUCCAAAAAAUAACAGUGGACCUGCAGAUAUUAUUUUUAAGGCACGGGCUUGUUUAUAACAUUGGAAACUUCACUGUCUUGCAUCACAGGUUAUCAAUCUUUCUAUAUCCCAUCUUCCAUGCCAGCAUUUUCUGAUGAAUUCUUUCAAAAUUAUAAACACAUUUUAAUUAACAUUUCCUGCACAUUAAUUUACUUUGUAACAGAUUUAAAAAGAAAAUAUUUUAAUUGUAAUUUUCUAUCUUCAUUUCUAUUUCUUUAAUGACAA